CCAAGACCAGGCCACAACAACAAGCCUUUAUUAGGGGAAUAGAUCUGCCGGGGCUGUCUCUGAACAAAGGAGAGACAAAAGCAAUAUGGCCGGGGCAGGGAAGAGUCCUUUAUAGAGACUGGGGUGGGGUUUGUAGGGGCUGAGGCGGGGUUGAGUGAGGUAGUGACUAGGGAAUGGAGGAGCCGGUGAUGUCACUAGGAGGUAGGAGGUGAGCGAGUAUUAGGUUACUCUCUAGGCGGGAACAGGGGCAUGCUGGGAAGAAGGGUUUAUUCUUUGAUGGGAGCAGCCAUCUUGGCAUGACGUCACAGAGGGGAGGGGGCAAGGCACGACGGGAAGAGGGCAACUGCUGUACAUAAUAGCUGCUGAGGUGGUGGGAGACCUAUCACCUUCCCCACAUGGAGACUUUCACUGCAGUCCUGCCUGGCUGGGGAGCUGCAAGUCAGAUUGAGAGAUGAUCACCAGUUAAUGCAAAAAAUCGCUAAAUGGCACUUCAUGCUCCUCAGGUUUCUGGGUGGAGGAGAAAGGAGUCUUUAGUCUUCAGAAUUGCUACAUGAAAAGGCAAAACUGAAGAAGAGCUCCUGUCUGUCCCAGCCAAGCUCUCUCAAAAGCAAUGGAGCCAAGUGGCAGGGUUCCCAAACAAGAUUUGCAUCUUGUCCCCUGGGAGAGCCAGAGGGAGUGCAGGUCCGCAUCCUCAGGUCUGGGUAAUCAGUGAAUCCACGACAUUUGCAUGCACAUCAAGCCCUGUUGAGUGAGGCUGCAGAGAGACUGUUUGGGAGAGCCAAGUGCAAGGUACAAGUGGAAAUAAAAGGGCCGGCAAGUUAG
rnacentral:lncRNA from 1 species